rnacentral:lncRNA from 1 species
CUGAUAUUAACCUGGGAAUAGCUUCAUAACAUAAAAAAUAGAAGUUUCUCAUGGGCCCAAGAACAUGUUUACCUCCUGGGCUGCACAACAUAUAAGUUUCUCAUGGGCCCAGGAGCAUGUUUACCUUUGCUGUGUGCCCAAGAACAUGUUUACCUCCUGGGCUGCACAACAUAUAAGUUUCUCAUGGGCCCAGGAGCAUGUUUACAUUUGCUGUGUGCACAAGAAAGUGUCCUGAAGUGACUUGUACUGCUCUUUGUUUUGAAACAUUAUAAAAACUCUGUAGUCCUUCAUUAAAUCGCCUUUUGCCUCCUGAGCAACUGGUCUCCCUGUGUCUUCGGUCUCUCGCCUGACUCCUUCCCCGCAGCUGGCCGCGGCACCUGGCACCUGGCGCCCAAACUUGGGGCUUGGAAUAUAAGCAUUUGGAGCGUUUUUUCCAGUGGAAGGAGAAUCGGGAGUUGCAAGAAGACCGCUGCUACAGACGACCCGGGUAAGUGAAAAGUGAAAGUAGCAGGGAGUGG